rnacentral:rRNA from 1 species
GCCCUAGUAACGGCGAGUGAAGCGGCAACAGCUCAAAUUUGAAAUCUGGCUUCGGCCCGAGUUGUUAUUUGCAGAGGAUGUUUAUGGUGCGGUACCUUCCGAGUUCCCUGGAACGGGACGCCACAGAGGGUGAGAGCCCCGUCUGGUUGGAUACCAAACCUGUGUUAAACUCCUUCAACGAGUCGAGUAGUUUGGGAAUGCUGCUCUAAAUGGGAGGUAAAUCUCUUCUAAAGCUAAAUACCGGCCAGAGACCGAUAGCGCACAAGUAGAGUGAUCGAAAGAUGAAAAGCACCUUGAAAAGGGGGUUAAACAGUACGUGAAAUUGUUAAAAGGGAAGCGUUUAUGACCAGACUUGUGUCGUGUGGCUCAUCCGAGGUUCUCCCCGGUGCACUCCACACGGCUCAGGCCAACAUCGGUUCUCGUUGGGGGAUAAGAACAGUAGGAACGUGGCCCUCUUCGGAGGGUGUUAUAGCCUGCUGUACGAUACCCUGAUGGGGACCGAGGACCGCGCUUCGGCUAGGAUGUUGGCGUAAUGGUCAUUAGCGACCCGUCUUGAAACACGGACCAAGGAGUCGUCCAUUAGAGCGAGCGUUUGGGUGUAAAACCCGCACGCGUAAUGAAAGUGAAAUUAGGUGAGAGCUUCGGCGCAUCAUCGACCGAUCCUGAAGUUUACGGAUGGAUUUUGAGUAAGAGUUUUUAACGGACGGACCCGAAAGACAGUGAACUAUGCUUGAAUAGGGUGAAGCCAGAGGGAAACUCUGGUGGAGGCUCGCAGCGGGUUCUGACGUGCAAAUUCGAUCGUCAAAAUGCGAGCAGGGGGGGGC